UACGUAGGGGGCGAGCGUUGUCCGAAUUUAUUGGGCGUAAAGCGCGUGUAGGCGGUUCUUUAAGUCAGGUGUGAAAUCCCGCAGCUCAACUGCGGAACUGCACCUGAUACUGGAGGGCUUGAGUGUGGGAGAGGAAAGUGGAAUUCCUGGUGUAGCGGUGAAAUGCGUAGAUAUCAGGAGGAACACCCGUGGCGAAGGCGGCUUUCUGGCCCACCACUGACGCUGAGACGCGAAAGCUAGGGGAG
rnacentral:rRNA from 1 species